rnacentral:rRNA from 1 species
UACGUAGGGUGCGAGCGUUGUCCGGAAUUAUUGGGCGUAAAGGGCUCGUAGGCGGUUUGUCGCGUCGGGAGUGAAAACCCAGGGCUUAACCCUGGGCUGGCUUCCGAUACGGGGCAGACUAGAGGUAUGCAGGGGGAGAACGGAAUUCCUGGUGUAGCGGUGAAAUGCGCAGAUAUCAGGAGGAACACCGGUGGCGAAGGCGGUUCUCUGGGCAUUACCUGACGCUGAGGAGCGAAAGUGUGGGGAGCGAACAGG